rnacentral:pre_miRNA from 1 species
UUGUAGCACCUUUCUGUAGCACUGAAUCACUGGCUAAGUCAGUCUGUACUUAGCCAGUGAUUCAGUGCUACAGACUGACUUA